rnacentral:rRNA from 1 species
AGGUGCUGCAUGGCUGUCGUCAGCUCGUGCCGUGAGGUGUUCGGUUAAGUCCGGUAACGAGCGCAACCCCUGCCCUUAGUUACCAGCGGGUAAUGCCGGGAACUCCUAAGGGGACUGCCUUGGUUAACGAGGAGGAAGGUGGGGACGACGUCAAGUCAUCACGGCCUUUAUGUCCAGGGCCACACACGUGCUACAAUGGCCGGCACAAAGGGUUGCCAACCCGCGAGGGGGAGCCAAUCCCAAAAGCCGGUCUAAGUUCAGAUUGUAGGCUGCAACUCGCCUACAUGAAGCCGGAGUUGCUAGUAACCGCGCGUCAGCAUUAGUGCGGUGAAUACGUUCCCGGGGAUU